AGAGAAGCUUGCUUCUCUUGAGAGCGGCGGACGGGUGAGUAAUGCCUAGGAAUCUGCCUGGUAGUGGGGGAUAACGUUCGGAAACGGACGCUAAUACCGCAUACGUCCUACGGGAGAAAGCAGGGGACCUUCGGGCCUUGCGCUAUCAGAUGAGCCUAGGUCGGAUUAGCUAGUUGGUGAGGUAAUGGCUCACCAAGGCGACGAUCCGUAACUGGUCUGAGAGGAUGAUCAGUCACACUGGAACUGAGACACGGUCCAGACUCCUACGGGAGGCAGCAGUGGGGAAUAUUGGACAAUGGGCGAAAGCCUGAUCCAGCCAUGCCGCGUGUG
rnacentral:rRNA from 1 species